rnacentral:rRNA from 1 species
UACGAAGGGGGCUAGCGUUACUCGGAAUUACUGGGCGUAAAGGGCGCGUAGGCGGCGUUCCAAGUCAGGCGUGAAAGCCCUGGGCUCAACCUGGGGACUGCGCUUGAUACUGGAGUGCUUGAGGAUGGAAGAGGGUUGUGGAAUUCCCAGUGUAGAGGUGAAAUUCGUAGAUAUUGGGAAGAACACCGGUGGCGAAGGCGGCAACCUGGUCCAUUUCUGACGCUGAGGCGCGAUAGCGUGGGGAGCAAACAGG